AUUUCUGGCCGCUUGAUCUUGUGCCAAGAUCCGCGCUGGGUGCUGGCUUUUUCGGACUUUUUUUUUCUGUCUCUGUUACCGGGUGCGCUUUCGUUUCCCAGCCAGCCCGUUACCGCCUAUCCCUUUUGUUCUCUGUCUUUUUUUUUUGUCCUUUCUCAUUUCUUGGCGAGAGUUAAAGCUGAGAGAGGGAGGCGAUUCUUGGCGAUUUCCUCGUCGUCCAUGACUGUGAAUUAACAAUGAUGGAGAAGAAGGAUUGUUUGCAUUAGAUAGAUGAUGAACUGCUUUUUUCACACUAUGGAUAGGGCAGUGUCUAUGUUGGUUCAGUGUGUAGUCAUCUGUAUGAUAGGAAGUGUCAAGUGUGUAUGUUGGUUCAGCUGUUUUUUUCUUUUCAAAAAGGAGGAUUGCCCCCGGCCUCUGCAUCGCAAUGUUGGUUCAGUUGUGUCUCUAUAAUCUGUAGAAGACACUAGGUACUAUACUUGCAAGGUUUUCUUACUGUAAUUUCAAGGUUUUUCA